CUGAAUUGUCGGCCAGGUGUGAUGGUUCACACCUGUAAUCCCAGUUACUCGGGAGGCUAAGGCAGGAGAAUCGCUUGAAUCUGGGAGGAGUAGGCUGCAGUGAGCUGAGACGGCGCCACUGCACCCCAGCCUGGGCGACAGAGUGAGACUUCGUCUCAAAAAAAAAAAAAAAAAAUCUGGAUUGUCCAGUGCGGCUUCCGUUGACGGUUGCCCGCGGGGAUAUAGGAACAUGGCGGCCUCCCCUCCGGCAAUCACAGAAGUAGCUGAAAAGGAGGAAAGUAAUGCCCAGGGGAAUCCAGUGUGGGAUUAUGACAAGCAAUGGCAGUUAGCUGGAUUUGCUGCCACUUUUUGCACAACAAGGGAAGUGUUUUAAUUGGCUUUGCGCUUCCUGCUUUACAACAGUUCUGGCCUCACAUUACCAGGUAGCCUGAACUUUGAUUUUAAUUUACCUUUAAAUUGUUUUAAUACCAUUGUAUUUGGUAAAGUUUUAGUUUUUGUGUGUCUUAUUUCAUACAUACACCAAAACUGGAGGAAGUUUUGUGGUAUAUUCAAUGUAAAACCACAUGCAUU